UCCAACGAAUUGGAGAAGACACGGAACAGUCCUGCCCAUUGGGAGUUUGAAUUAACAAAGAUUUGUGGUUCAUCCUUUUAACCACGAGGUGGCGCCUCUGCUCCUAUCAGGCCCCGGGACUGCCGCUCUCCUAAUGGGAGCCGGGAUUCCUUGGGCUCCGCUGCGGCCCCGGGACCCCGCCGGCCGCGUCCGCAGUGACAGCUUGGUUUCCUCCGGAGCCGCGGGACAGAAAGGUCUGGCUGUGGGGAUCCUGGGCUGCGGCAGGAGUUCGCAUCAUGUCCCGGAGGCCACGUCUGUCACCCUGCAGCCCCCGCUGCUGUGUCUCAAGGCCCGCUGUCUCAGCCACGUUCAUGCCAGGAGGGAUGAUGUGGGUCCUGUCUGCGCAGGGGACCUGGGGAAACAUCGCAGACUCACCACUAACAGAAACAAAAAUUCCCUAUCUCAUUUACUCUUCACUCAGACCCCUUGUAAGGACCUCUCCAUCCCCAUUUUGUACGUGAGGACAUUGAGAUUUAGAGAGAUUAUGUAGCUUGAAAGUGAUUACAACCAUUAAAAGAUGUCUCAGGACGCAA